rnacentral:lncRNA from 1 species
UACCUCCUCUCUCGGACGAUGAGAAAGAUCCAUCCAUUGCUGAAAGGUGACGCACCUGGUAACCAGAUAAAUCCUCAGGAUUGAAGCGAGCGUCGAGGUGGAAAUAGCUGCCAUCAGGAAGAACAGAACCACAGGAUCUGUGAGUCAAUGGAUCAAUCCCCAUCUGUAACAAUUGCUUCUUGAGGUGUGUGUUCCAGUGGUUUUUAAUCUCGUUGUCAGUUCGUCCAGGAAUGUGCGAUGCGAUCACGGACCACCUGAAAGUGAGAAACGCAAGAACUUAGAGGUAAAACUCUACAAACUCUUACCGGUUACCCAGGAUUGAAUGCAGCCAGAUGAUGAGAACCUCUUCUUGGGCUGUGAUCCCGCCUCGUUUUAUAUCCGGCCGGAGAUAGUUCGUCCAUCGCAGCCUGCAACUCUUGCCGCAGCGAUUAAGUCCUGCUCGCAAGAUCCAAGAGAAACUAUGAGACGAAGAUGUGAGAAAUCGAUUCACCUGCUUUCUCCGGUAGCGCUCUCCAAUUCUCGUGACCGUGUUUCCGAAUGUAAGCGACGAGCUUCUCGUCUUCCUCGGGCUGCCAGGGGCCUUUCGUGAGUCCCUCUUUGUUCCGGCGAGGAGGCCUCCCCAUUGCAAAGCACGGAGAAGUAAAGAGAGCGUUCUAUACACGCUGUGAUUGUGUAUUUAUUUGUACACUUUUCCAGUGUAAGAAGCCUGGAGUGUGAGCUAGAUUGCUAGACUUCUCCCUUUGGUCAAAAGGUUUCUUUUGGAUUCAUCGCUUUAGAGUUAUAGAUCGUCGCGGCUUUCAAAAGCUUGUCUUGUCUUUUAGACGCGUUCCAGAAGACCAUGUCAUCGCUGCCGUAUAUCUCUAUGGAAAAACUUAGUCAAUGCAGUUGCCGACCAUACAGUACCCAAGUACGAAGGACAUGGAGAAAGUUUGGAAUGUUCGCCACCUUUUUCGUUUGAAAAGAAAGUAGGAGCGAAGAAUUACCUGGAGCUGGACGUUUUGAUCGAUCAUGUCAUUCAUACAUCAUAUAAAUUUAAAUAUAAUUAUAAUUAACUAAUAAUAAGUAUAAUUAUUACAGUUAUAAUUAAUUACUAAUGUCUAUAACUAUAACUAAUUAUAUUAUUUCUUAAAGGUAGAGAUAAACCCUAAAGGUCCAAAUCUUAAACCCUAAAGGGUCCAAAACCCUAAAUCCUGGGGAGAAAAUGGCACAGCUACUGGGGAGCGCUCUCGGCCCGGCGCGGCCAAUCCCUCGCAAGAAUGCGGCGCCGUCCUCCAUCGCCAGGGCAUCGGUGAGCUCCUCCCCCACAGAGAUCGCCGCUCCAUCGCGGCAGCAGGGCGCCGGCGAGCACGCGAUCGUGUUGAAUCGCUACAGCAGCCGCGUGACGCAGCCCAAAUCCCAGGGCGCGUCGCAGGCCGUGCUCUAUGGCGUGGGGCUGCGUGACGAGGACAUGGCCAAGGCGCAGGUCGGGAUCUCCUCGGUGUGGUACGAGGGCAACACUUGCAAUAUGCAUUUGCUCAAGCUCUCCGAGGCUGUCAAGGAGGGCGUGCGCGAGGCUGGCAUGGUGGGAUUUCGAUUCAACACCGUGGGGGUGAGCGAUGCCAUCUCGAUGGGCACCGAGGGGAUGUGCUAUAGCUUGCAGUCGCGGGAUUUGAUAGCUGAUAGCAUCGAGACCGUCAUGGGUGGACAGUGGUACGAUGCCAAUGUCUCCAUUCCAGGCUGCGAUAAGAAUGUAGGUGAUCGAGCAAGCUCUUUCGAAAACUUCUCUAUGCUCUCCUUUCUCUUUCUUGUUUCUUUUUUGUUUUCUCAUUCUUUCUUUUUGCUUUUAGAUGCCAGGAACUCUCAUUGCAAUGGGAAGGCUGAAUCGACCAAGUAUUAUGGUUUACGGAGGAACUAUCAAAGUAAGUUUUCUCUUUCUUUUUGGUUUCUUUUGUUCGUGCUUGCUGAAAGUGUUGGUUCAGCCAGGAAUCGUGAACGGGCAUACGUACGAUAUAGUGUCAGCUUUCCAGGUAUUUCUGGUUCUUUGUUUUUCUCAUGGUGGCCGCGUAAACGAAGCCUAUGCUGUGUUUUCGUUGUCUUCUCGGUUUAUUUUUCUUAACGUACAGAGCUACGGAGAAUAUGUUGGUGGUCACAUUUCUGACGAGCAGCGACUGAAAGUUUUGCAACAUUCAUGUCCAGGUGCUGGAGCUUGUGGUGGAAUGUACACGGCAAAUACCAUGGCCAGCGCCAUUGAAGCCUUAGGCAUGUCCCUUCCUUACAGGUCUCUCUCUUAGUCUUUUACGUGUUUUCCGAUAUUAUUUAUUUGUUAUUUCUUUUGUAAAUGCAGUUCUUCCAUUCCAGCUGAAGACCCUCUGAAGCUACAAGAAUGCCGACUGGUGGGAAAACACUUGCUGGAGCUGCUGAAGAUGGACUUGAAGCCGAAAGACAUAAUCACGAAAGAGUCGCUUCACAAUGCCAUGGUCGUCGUAAUGGCGCUGGGAGGAUCGACAAAUGCCGUGCUACACCUGAUCGCAAUUGCGAGGUAGUGAAAAUCUGAUCUUUCUGGUUGUUAUUGAGUUUCGCUAGUUACGCAGGUCAGUAAACGUACCACUGACCUUGGACGACUUUCAGAAAGUUAGUGACAAAGUUCCGUUUAUCGCUGAUCUUAAACCCAGCGGGAAGUAUGUAAUGGAGGACUUGCAUAAGGUCUGUAAUUCCCAGUUUUGUGGUGACUCACAAUAUAUUGCGAUGUCACAGAUCGGUGGAACGCCUGGCGUUUUAAAGUAUCUGCUUGAGGAGGGCUACCUCAAUGGCGACUGCAUCACUGGUAACUUCAAGAAAUGGAGUGAUCUUGCGCGAAGUAACGUUUUUUUUUUUUGUUUCUCUCUCUCUCUCUUUUCUGGUAUGUCCAGUGACUGGCAAGACCUUGUCGGAAAAUAUAUCCAUCUGCCCGCCCUUGAGCGAGGGACAGGUAACAACUUAAAUUCAGCCUGGUGUUUCCUUGACACAAUAUUUCACAGGAUGUCAUACAUCCUCUAGAUCGGCCGAUCAAGUCGACUGGCCACAUACAGACCUUGCUCCCGAGGGCUCCGUUGCAAAAAUCACUGGGAAAGAGGGUCUUUACUUUUCAGGUGGAAAUGCAUUUUGUUGUUUGUUCUUUUUACUAAUUACGAGAUUUUUGCUUGCCAGGUCCUGCUCGGGUUUUCGAAGGCGAAGAAGCUAUGCUUUCAGCGCUGUCUGAGAAUCCUCAAAGCUUCAAGGUAUACUUUUUUCUCUAUGUCCAAAACAAGAUAUGAUAAUCACUGGUGAUCGGUGAAAUGCUCAGGGCUCCGUGAUUGUUAUCAGGGGAGAAGGUCCCAAAGGUGGUCCGGGAAUGCCUGAGAUGCUAACUCCUACAAGUGCGAUCAUGGGUGCUGGCUUGGGGAAGGUGUGUAAAGUUCGUUUUCUAUGUUUCGCCAUGAAAAUCUCACUCCCUUUCUUUCCAGGAAGUAGCUCUCCUCACGGAUGGGAGAUUUUCAGGAGGUUCUCAUGGUUUUGUCGUUGGACACAUUUGUCCAGAAGCCCAGGUACUCACACAAACGAGCUCAUUUCUUGAUAUGAUAUAAGCAACUUCUCCCCACUCGCUCGGUCUCUUUGCUUGUUUCUAGGGUAGUGAGUGUUAGCAUGUAGAAGCUCUCAUAGAUUCUAUCCUAUCUUCUCCAUCAGUUCUGUGCUUCAAUGAUUUUGUUUGUGUGUGUGAUGUCCUGAUGCAGCAAUUCUCUGCUAAGGUGGAGCACUUCUUUCCCACCAGCGACCAUGUUGGGCAAUGGGAGGAAGCUUGCAAGCUGGUUGCAUUCCUGGAGCAGUUGAAGAAUGACAACUAUGUCACCGUAGACAAGGUUUUUCUCCUUUUACUCUUUGUUCCUUACUUCCCAUUUCUUUAUCUUUUGUUUUCCAGGUUGUUCGUUUUUUUUGCUUUUGAUCACAUAACAAUCUCAGCUCUUAGGGACAUUCUCGAACUGUUUUGCAAUUAUUGUUAUUGCCGCCUCAUCGUCCCUGCCGUCCUCAUCAUCUUUGUUUUUUUCCACCAUUAUUGUUAUCUUUGCCAUCACUGCCCAACUUGCCGGAAUUGCCAGUUUCAGCUGCCAAAGGUUUACCGUUAGAUUCAUUGAAACUGUCAGUGGCAGCUGCUAACAGUUCACCGCUAGAUUCGUCGGAACUGCCAACACCAGCUGUCAAAAUCAUUAUUUCUAGGCAUUAUAGUGUCCUUGGGAAAAACUUCGAAAGGUGAUUUCUUUAACUUUUUCUUAAAUGCUCUUUGAACGUUUGAACGCUUACUCAAGUCGGUUGGAACGCAUGAUCCUGAAUACACUUUUGAUUGCAAGUGGGGGAAAUUCAAAAUUUAUAUGAAUAAAAGGUAUUGGAAAAUAGUUGAGCUAGAACCCGAUGGUGGCACAUUACAUUCGAGGCCUCCAUGGGAAUCCUCGAAUGUAAUGUAUAGAGACAUCUUCCAAUAUUUACUGUUCAUGUAAGUCUUGAUUUUUCCCGCACUCCGACCGAAUCUAUUGAGUAAGCGUUUUGACAUUCAAAAAGCAUUUAAGAAAAAAUUCAAAAAAUCACCUUUUGAGGCUCUUUCAAGGAGAUUGUAGUACCUGGAAUCAGUGACGUGACAGUUUUGGCAGUUAGUGAUGGCAGUUCCAGCGAGUCUAAUGGUGAGCCGUUAACAGCUAGCAUUGACGGUUUCGGUAUGUUUGGCAGUGAGCCUUUGGCGGUUGGCAUUGAUAGUUUCGGGUGGUGAUGGCGAAAAUAAUGAUAAUGGUGAAGAUGACAAAAAUGGUAAGGACAGUGGGGAUGAUGAGGCGGCAAUGGCAAUAAUUGCAAAGCACUUUAAGAAUGUCCUUGAGAGUUAAGAUUGUUCUAUGAUAGAUUUUGUAGAGCAUCGCAUUUUGUUUUGUGAAAUUCAAAGAUCAAUAAUAAAACAUAUUGUCAUUGUCAUGCUUAGCCAGUGUGAAAACAGAUAACACAGAGGCUACCAAACUACCAAACAUUUCUGGGCAAUAGAAACUUUUCUAAUGAAUGUCACAGCUUUCUAAAAUCCUUUAACUGGAAUAAUACAAAAGGUGAAGCCCAGGACAACAAGAGUGAGCUCUGGGCGAAGGCAAGCAAUGCAAUGGUAGGGAAUCGUCACUGGCAGAUCAAACCCAGUCCCAUUACGAGGACAAUGGCAUGUCAAGAGACUAGCAACUCCAUCAAGUGCUUUGGAAUGGACAAGAUCUAUCGAGAAGAGACAGAGACUGAAGGACCCAGGCUUCACUGGCACUGGCCAGCCAUGUAUAUUCCACUGCAAGCUCAGGACCUGGACAUGAAUGCUGCAAAUUUUCAGUCGCUGCUCGUCAGAAGUACGUUAAACAACAAAUUCGCACCAGGAGAACCAAAAACAUUUUUGUACACUGAUCAUAUGCAUGCCUGUUGAUAAUUCAGGCAUACAUGUCGAUAAUGUUGGCUGCUGAUAGCAUUUGCAGCUAGCAUGAACAAAAAAAACGAAAACGAACUCACGUUGACAGUUCCUUCGUGAUCGAUUACGUCACCAUCAACGUUGAUGUAUCCUCCUUGGAACACUCUUCCACUGGGAACACUUGCACCUAUAUAUGCAUCAAAGAUCAAACAAAGCUUCGAGUGAGACAUAUGUGAGAUACUUGCAUUCCACCGCUGUAUGCUCGCAAGCAGGCCAAUGAACUUGAGUCCCGGAGAACAAUGAGAUCCAAAGACCAUCUGCGAACUAGAACAAAAAAAAGAGUUUUGGAAGGAGAACUUACACAGAUCUCUGGCUGUAGUAGCAAUUUUUCCAGCAUUGUAACAAGCUACACAACCAGAUCUAGAGGACGAAAAUCGGCCUCAACCAUGAUGCUAUCCAGGAACCGGACACGAAGUGUGGCCUGCAAGGAGAAAAGCAUGUAAGUCAGACGAUCCAUGGAGUGACAAUUUCAUUACCUUAGCAAACUUGGAUCUACGAGCUGCUGCCUCAGCGUCACGGCUUUUUGCUGUCUUCAAGAAUCUCUCUGGAAGGAAAACAAAAAAAAGGAAACUUUGAGUGAAAGAUCAUAUGGAAGAAACCAACACGAUCGAACCUGCCGACCUUUUCUUUUCUUGGACACCAAUCGGGCAUAAUCUUCCGGAGUUAGCUCGUAGAAUUCAUCGCUCUCGGCCUCCUCUGCCCCACCCAUCAAAAUCGAAAACUCGGAAAGGACUUCUCUCGCCUUUGCCAGUCGCGUGCUGAAUCGGGGCCUCCAACGCCGCGGGAUUGACGAACACACUUGAGAAUUCUUGGAAGAACUCUAAUAAGGUCUUUAUGGCGACCACGGAAGCGCAUUGUCGGCGCCUGGCAGCAAUCGCUGGUUUGUACCGUGUGAUCGAACUCUCCAAUCCUGAAAAUUCUCUCUUACAGGCGGCAGUGAGAAGCUGGAUUGAAAGACAUCUCCAAGUGAUUUUCCCGCGCUAGGGUGGGGGAGGACGAUCCACGACUGGAUUGGAGAAGCGCAUUGACGGAUUGGAUUGGAGGUAUGCCGCGCUGCUCGAGAGAUUCAAGCGGCCGAAGAUUGGGGGCGGGGAUUCCCGUGAAGCCGCCAUUGGCACCAAAGAAGCCGCUGGAUGAUUGGGUCUUUGUAUAUGGCCAUCCAAAACGACUGAUUUUUCUUGUUCUUUGUUCCCUUCCAUUUUUUUUCCUUGUUUCUUUGUUUCUUUGGUUCCAUUUUUGCUUCUGUUUUUCCCUUUCUUUUUCGUUCUUUGGGGAUGCUUACCGGACGAAUGCUAUGAUUCUGUACAGACGUUCCAGGUAGUUUUUCUCCCUUCGAUCGUCACAAUCUAUCUAAAAAAAUGGUCGUUUUGUUCCUUCUUCCAGAAGAUGGAAGCCACUGGAGUUUUAGUUGGAAAGCGAAGACUCUACGACUACUUGGGUGAGAACUCGUUCUUUCUUGCGAUGGAUGAUAGAUGUUCUUAUGUAAAUGUAGCUGGUGGAGUAUAUUUUGCACAGCCUGCAACGCGAAGAGCCCGCUAUCAAGAGGAUUGGAGGAAUUAGAGACAAGGAGGUAUGCAUCACCUUUUCGAAAGCCUGGAAUGAUUUUUCUUAGAUGGAACAAUGCACCAUGAGCUUAUCCAACUUACUGUAGUAGUUGCCACUAUUGUUGAGAGAGAGGAAGAACUAUAUAAUCUUGAUAGUGGUUUUAUAUAUAGUUUACAUGAGAACCAAGUAGGUAGUAGUAGGAGUUGAAUUUGGUUAGAAUGAGUUAGUUGGAAAAGAAAUCUACCAUACAAGAUGUUUGACAGAGAGGUGAGGUUGUCUUUGUGAUAAAGUCUAAAUACGUUUCUUUCGUGUUUCAGGAGCUCUGGUGGCUUAUAAAGAAUCUCAAGGAAAGGAUUUCCAUGAGAGACAAGCUUCCAAUGAAGGAUCCGCUGUGGGAGCAUCAAUCAACGAAAUGUAUCCGUGCCGAGAACCGUUUGAGACGUUUCUUACAAGAUCUAGCCCGGAGAGAUUACAGUGGUAAAGCUUGGAGGAUAUGCAUUUGUUCUCAACUGGAAGUAGCACGAUGGUAAGCGAGUUUUAUUCGUAUGAUUACUGACGCUUCUUAUUUCUUCUCCAGAAGGUCAGAUCAUUCCGAGAAUACAGUGUCACAUUCCAACAGCCUUUAAAAUGGUCGUCCAAAACUCGCUGGAUUCCAUCGUUUCUAACAUUCGUUUAGUACCUCCUCUCUCGGACGAUGAGAAAGAUCCAUCCAUUGCUGAAAGGUGACGCACCUGGUAACCAGAUAAAUCCUCAGGAUUGAAGCAAGCGUCGAGGUGGAAAUAGCUGCCAUCAGGAAGAACAGAACCACAGGAUCUGUGAGUCAAUGGAUCAAUCCCCAUCUGUAACAGUUGCUUCUUGAGGUGUGUAUUCCAGUGGUUUUUAAUCUCGUUGUCAGUUCGUCCAGGAAUGUGCGAUGCGAUCACGGACCACCUGAAAGUGAGAAACGCAAGAACUAG